rnacentral:lncRNA from 1 species
CAAGGGUCGAGGAAGAAGCUGUUAUGCCUUCACGCGAUGCGUCCAGGAAAUAGGCUUUUGGUGGUGUUACUCGUGCUGCACUGGAGCGCUCGCGGCAGCGCGGUGACGGACGCUUCAACUGAGACUCGUCCCCAAUGUGACACUGAUGGAUCGACUUUAAGAUGCACAUUGGAAGAAACUCAUUUGAUGAGUUCUGACCCAAUUAAACUGGAUUUCACUGAAGGACAAACUGUGGAAAUUUACAGUGCAUGCCAAC